AUGCUCGCUUCUGCAGCACAUAUACUAAAAUUGGAACGACACAGAGAAGACUAGCAUGGUCCUUGUGUAAGGAUGACACGGAAAUUCGGGAAGCAUCCCGUCUUUGU
ensembl:snRNA U6 U6 spliceosomal RNA